rnacentral:rRNA from 1 species
GAUGAACGCUGACAGAAUGCUUAACACAUGCAAGUCUACUUGAAUUUGGGUUUUUAACUUAGGUUUGGGUGGCGGACGGGUGAGUAACGCGUAAAGAACUUGCCUCACAGCUAGGGACAACAUUUAGAAAUGAAUGCUAAUACCUAAUAUUAUGAUAAUAGGGCAUCCUAUAAUUAUGAAAGCUAUAUGCGCUGUGGGAGAGCUUUGCGUCCCAUUAGCUAGUUGGAGAGGUAACGGCUCACCAAGGCGAUGAUGGGUAGCCGGCCUGAGAGGGUGAACGGCCACAUUGGAACUGAGACACGGUCCAAACUCCUACGGGAGGCAGCAGUGGGGAAUAUUGCACAAUGGGGGGAACCCUGAUGCAGCAACGCCGCGUGAGUGAAGAAGGCAUUCGUGUCGUAAAACUCUGUAGUAGGGGAAGAAAGAAAUGACAGUACCCUAAAAGAAAGCCCCGGCUAACUACGUGCCAGCAGCCGCGGUAAUACGUAGGGGGCAAGCGUUAUCCGGAAUAACUGGGCGUAAAGGGUGCGCAGGUGGUUUAACAAGUUAGUGGUGAAAGGCAUAGGCUCAACCAAUGUAAGCCAUUAAAACUGUUUAACUUGAGUGCAGGAGAGGAAAGCGGAAUUCCUAGUGUAGCGGUGAAAUGCGUAGAUAUUAGGAGGAAUACCAGUGGCGAAGGCGACUUUCUGGACUGCAACUGACACUGAGGCACGAAAGCGUGGGGAGCAAACAGG